rnacentral:misc_RNA from 1 species
GCCCGCAGGCGCGCGUUCGCUUUAAAGCGACAAGCACUUGAAGUGCCAAUCGCAGCGCGUUCGUAAUGGUUCUACACAGCCAUGCGGCGGGGGCUGAUUCUACAGACAUGGUGGCGAAGGCGGACGAACCACGCACCGAUGACUGGAAACAAAACACGACUCCACUGCAGCCGGCGGCGUCCUUCUCCUGGCUUCCGGCCUGCGUGAACCGCAAACUGCUGCCAUUCAAGUUGCACUACUUUCUCUUCAUCGCAGGAGAGGCUGGCGUCUCACCGUACAUCGCCGUCGUGGGACGGCGAAACGGUAUAGGCCCCGCCACAAUGGCGGUCAUCUUCACCGUCAUGCCACUCACAGCCGUCGUUUUCAAGCCCGUGUGCGGUUUCAUCAUCGACCGAACUCGAAACGUCACUGCCGUCAUCCUCGUCUUGCAAGUCCUGUGCACCCUAUUUUACGGUGUCGCUUUCUUCUGCCCCAGCGCCAUAUCUGAUGGCUCAACAUACAAGGGCAAUCUGAGUUGCUCAUUGGAAGUGUCCGAUGUCACCGGUACUUCGGGGUCGCAACAGUGUUCUCCCAGGGGAAGCGAUUCCAUAUAUUGUGUAUUGUCUUCGGAGAAACACGUGUGGGAAGGGGUCAGCGCUCGCCUGACUACCGACAACAAAAUAGUGCUGGCCAACGCGUCUGAACCUUGUAAGGACCUUCUCAAGUAUAACCUCCUAUCCAACGACUCCCUCACCGUUACGGGUGAGAUGAAGUGUUCUUGCGAUGCUGAAUUGUACAAUAACCGAAACUUCUGGAUCUACACCGUGUCUGCUAUUCUCGGCUUCGCGUUGGCCGCAGCACUGAACAACGUUGGUGACGCCGCCGUGAGCAACGCACUGGGCUCAGACAUCGAAGUGUUUGGUCGACAACGCCUUUUCGGCACACUUAGCUACGGCAUGACGUCGCCGCUGAUAGGGUACCUGGUGGACGUAGCCAGCAGGGAAAGCUCAGUCACCGAUUAUAGGCCGGGCUUCUAUGUAUUCGCCGGUGCCAUGCUUCUGGAUAUGAUCCUUAUCCUCGCCGUGCCUAGGAUGCGCGUCGCCGAAGUCUCCGUCAACUUCUUCAAGGACAUCGGGGUGCUCUUGUCAAGCCCCGAGAUCCUGCUCUUCACGUUUUUCACAUUCCUGGUGGGAUCCAUGAUAGGGUUUCUCAACGCUUUCGAGACGUGGUUCCUGGAGGACUUGGGAACACCCACGUACCUCAUAGGCCUAACCAAGACAGUCCAGUGCUUCGGCGCGGAGCCCGUGCUGUUCUUUCUCUCGACGUACAUACUGAAGAAGAUCGGAUACUUCUACUCCUAUUCAGUCGCGUUCCUUCUGUUCGCCUGCAAGGCCCUUGGCUAUUCGUUCUUGCGGAACGUCUGGGGCUCGCUUGCCGUGAACAUCGUCGGGGGAGCCAUUUUCCCGAUGGUGUACGCCGCUAUGGCCGUGUUCGCUAAGAAGAAGGCGAGACCUGGAACAGCCGCCUCCAUGGUCUGCAUCCUCGGAGCCAACUACGAUGGUCUCGGUUCGGCAGCAGGCAGCUUGGUAGGCGGCCUCAGCAUCGAUAAGAUCGGAGCGAGCCAGACUUUCCGCUACUUUGGUUUCUCGUCGGUGGCUGCCGCGUUUCUAAGUUCGAUGUGCUACUUGCUCCUGCGCUGCACAGCCGCACACGAAUACGAUGUUACAACGGAGAAGCCAGAUGCAUCCACUCCUGCAGAAAACUGAUACCACACACAUUUCACCGAAGUCCGAAUGCGAAAUACUCGUGGAAAGCCUGCCCAGCAAGCAUCGAUGGGACCGAUCCUCAAUGUGCGGCUCCAAGGCUUACUUAGCGGAUUAACCUCAAAGCGUCACAUUUCCACAAGCCACUUUGCACCGUCACAUAGCUGUGGAACAUAUGGCUAGAAAAGCUGCGGUAGAUAAAAAGAAGGAAAAGUCGCAGUUUCACCCAGCAGGCGAAGCAUCGAUUGCGAUAGCAAAUUAGUAGACAGCUAUACGAAGUAAUGAUAGUAGUCUUAUCGGCCGUAUGAACUUGUAGCUAUUCGCUUACUAACUAAAUUAACAAGCAUGGUGUCAUGCGCGCACAAGCAAACAUGAACACAUCUUACUCAAUGACCGCGCACACCCGCUUUCAAAAUGCUGGAGUGGGAAAGCGCGGCAGCAGCAGCGAGCGAAUUGACCUUUCCUGCUGCCUCUCGUUUCAACGCGAACUAAGCGCUGAGAACACAGCGCACACGAAGCUAUCAGCACUCGGCGCACUCUGUCCCCAUCGCAGAUCGCUUUCAAGAUAGGGCGCGCGUGGCCGUGCCGAAGUUGAAGGUGGCUGCAGUGUCCAUAUAAUUGAUAUCGCAAUAAAAAAUCGGCGAUUUGAAGAAGUGUCAUGGUA